AGAUUUUAAUUGAAUGCUAAGAGAAUGGACUCUCAGAGAAAAACUUUUUUUAAAUUAAAAAUUGAAAUUUUUUUAAUUUGUGCAGAAACAAUUAUUAAUAUUAAGGACAAGAAGACCCUAUGAAUUUAUUAAAUUUCAUUCAAUAUGUAAUUACUAUUGAAGAAAUUUUGGCUGGGGCGGCUAAAAAAUAUUUUAAACUUUUUAAAAAUAAAAUGAUCCAUUAUUAAUGAUUAUAUGUUAAAUACUCUAGGGAUAACAGCGUUAUAUUUUUUGAUAGACCAUAUUGACAAAAAAGUUUGCGACCUCGAUGUUGGAUUAGGAUACUUUUUUAAUGCAGAUAU
rnacentral:rRNA from 1 species